rnacentral:tRNA from 1 species
GGGCCCGUAGUUCAUCGGUUAGAACAAUUGUCUUAUAAACAAUAGGUAGAAGGUUCGACUCCUUCCGGGCCCA